AUCUUAUCGAGAGCGGCGGAGGGAUAGGCCCGAUGAAGCCCGGCAACCGAUUUAUGUUUAUGCGUGAACCGCGUGUACAUAAGUGCCAUGGUGCUAAUUCCUACAAUGCCGUUUGAGUGCGGACGUUGGCAGAUGAGAC
rnacentral:ncRNA from 2 species